UAAGGAUCUGGUGUUGCUGUGUACUGUGGUGUAGGUCGCAUAAGUGCCUCAGAUCCUGUGUUGCUGUGGCUGUGGUGUGAGUUGGCUGGCUGCAACUCCGAAUGAUCCAUAGCCUGGGAACCUCCAUAUGCUGUGAGUUUGGCCCUAAAGAGACAAAAAACAAACAAACAAAAAAACACCUGUAGAUUAAUUUGAGAAGUAUUGUCUUCUUAACACUAAUCUCCUCCUUCAAUCCAUGGACAUGGCAUUUAUUUCCAUUUAUUGAGGUCUUUUAAAACAGCUUUAAUGAUGUUCUGUUAUUUUGGUGGACAAGACUUAACUGAAUAAAGAGUCUGACCCCCUUUUUCUGAUAUUUUCUGGCAGCUUAUAAUCCUCACUCUGCCCUCUCUCUCAUCUGCACCUCAUCAGAUCAAGCUGAUAAGAAAGCCUGUGUGUUUCCUUGGUCCUGAUGGGAAGUUCAAACCAUGCCCAGGAAUACUUAUCCCAGCCCUACCCUGAAGUACCAUAAAAAUACAACCCAGCUUCUUUCUCAGCUUUCUAAAGCCAUUUAGACCAGCUUGAGAAACUUGCCUUGCUCUUCCCAGCAAGUGUGAUUAUGUGAGUAAUAAACCCUUUACCAGAGUAACCCCUGAUGCAUGUGUGGCAUAAUUGGUCUUAACAUCUGAACCAAAUAUCUGAUGGAGGGCCAUCCUGCCUCUGCAGAGUACUCACCACAACUUCAUUGGUUAUUUAUUCCUAAAUGGAUUUUGUGCUAUUAUAGAUGAAACUGUUUUCUAAUUUCACUUUCAGGGUAUUCAUUGUUACUGUAGAGGAACAGGACUAAAUUUUGCACAUUGGUCUUAUAUCCUGCAAUUUUUUUUUUUUGUCUUUUUGCCUUUUCUAGGGCCACUUCCCAUGGCAUAUGGAGGUUCCCAGGCUAGGGGUCGAAUCGGAGCUGUAGCCACUGGCCUGUGCCAGAGCCACAGCAAUGCGGGAUCCAAGCCGUGUCUGCAACCUACACCACAGCUCACAGCCAACGCCGGAUCCUUAACCCACUUAGCAAGGCCAGGGAUCGAACCUGCAACCUCAUGGUUCCUAGUCAGAUUCAUUAACUGCUGCGCCACAGCGGAAACUCCUAUCCUGCAAUCUUGCUGAACUUGUUCAUUAGUUCUAACAAUUUUUUAGUGGAUCCUCUAGAAUUUUCUAUAGAAAAGAUCAUGCCAUCUGCAAAUAGAGGUGGUUUUACUUCUUUUCCAAAGUGAAUGCCUUUCAUUACUGUUUCUUGUCUAACUGUCCUGCUAGAAUCUCUGGUAUGGAUGGUAAGUAGAAGUGGAAGAGCAAAACGUUCUUGUCUUUUCCUGAUCUUAGAGGAAAAGCAUCCAGUCCUUCCCUUUCAAGUACGAUACUAACUUUGGGACUUUUACAGACACCCUGUGUCAGGCGGAAGAAGUUUCCUUCUAUUCCCAGUUGGUGUAGUAUUUUUAUAUCAUGGAAGGAUAUUAGAUUUUGUCGAAUAGUUUUUUCUUCAUUUAGUGAAAUGAUGGUGUCAUGUUUUAUUUUUAUAUUGUAGAUAGAGUGUAUUACAUUUCAGCCACUAUAGCUCUCUGAAAAUUCAAAAGAAUUUUUGGCAAUGGGUGAUAAGAGGCAGGGGGGCGAGGGAGUUCUUUCUUACUUGUGAAAGCUAGGGUUAUUUUUUUUUUUAAGUCUCAGUGUCUAUCCACAGGUAUUUGGAACAAUCUCUGCCAUCCCCGUGGGCAAUACACUUAGUCCUGCAAAGCACCUUUUCCCAAGAGGUCCAAGGUCAUCUCUGACAGAAAAGAUUUGUGGUCAAAUACGGUAGAUACUCUGCAUACCUUAAACCCCUCUAGGACAUAGUCAAUGCACCUGAGCAUAGUGAAGACUCUGAAAUUUUUGCAAAGGAAAAAAAAUAAUCUUUUUAUUUUUAACUCUAUAUUUCCACAAUAAUUUGUAUCACAGAACCCUUUUUUUUUCACAUGAUACUUAUCUUUUAGAACCACCACUGAUACCCUUUGGGAAGCCCUAUUUCAGGCUGAUUCUUGCAUUUGUGAACAAAUCCAGUUAACUUUAUUUCAGACCUUGAGAAUCGGAGAAAGAGCUAAUGACUGUUACAUUUUCUCACUAAACUGCUCCUUGCACGAUCACUUUGCACCACAUUUUACCCAAAGUGCAAGUGCUUUCAUAAAUAAUGGAGCAGAAACCUUCACCAAAGCCUCAAUGCCAUGUUGAAUAAAUAUGACGUUCUGAGCAUUAGAACUGCAGGUAUUUUUUAUUCAAGUACACCCCAACCAUGUAACUUUCCAUUUGGGGAAGCACUCUCAGAUGAACUGCAUGGCAUGGCUUUCAAAAGCACUUGCAGAAUUAACCAUUCAUACAACUCAACAACAAAAAACUAAACAACUCUAUCAAAAAAUGGGCAGAAGAUCUAAAUAGAUAUUUCUCCAAAGAAGACAUAUGGAUAAUCAAUAGGCACCUGAAAAGAUGCUCAACAUCACUAAUUAUUAAAGAAGUGAAGUCAAAACUACAAUGAGGUACCAUCUCACACUGGUCAGAAUGGCCAUCAUCUACAGAUAAUGAAUGCUGGAGAGGGUGUGGAGAAAAGGGAAACCUCCUACACUGUUGGUGGGAAUGUAAAUUGGUACAACCACUAUGGAAAAAAUUAUGGAGUUUCCUCAGAAAACUAAAUUUAGAACUACCAUAUGAUCCAGCAAUUCCAUUCCUGGGUAUAUAGCUGGACAAAAUUAUAAUUCAAAAAGAUACACAUACCCCUGUUCAUUUCAACACUAUUCAAAAAUAACUGAGACAUGGAAACAACCUAAAUGUCCAUUGACAGAUGACUGGGUUAAGAUGAUGUGAUACAUAUGCACAAUGGAAUACUACUCAGCCAUAAAAAAGAAUGAAAUAAUGCCAUUUGCAGCAACAUGGAUGCAACUAGAGAUUCUCAUACUAAGUGAAGUAAGUCAGAGAAAGACAAAUCCACAUGAUAUCACUUAUAUGUGGAAUCUAAAAUAUGACACAAAUGAACCUAGCUAUAAAACAGAAACAGAAUAGAGAACAGACUUGUAGUUGCCAAAAGGGAUGGGGGAGGAGUAGGAUGGACGGGGAGUUUGGGGUUAGCAGAGGCAAACUAUUACAUUUAGAAAGGAUAAGCAAUGAGGUCCUACCGUGCAGCACAGGUAACUAUAUCCAGUUUCUUGGGAUAGAACAUUAUGGAAGACAGUAUGAGAAAAAGAAUGCACAUUUAUGUAUGACUGGAUCACUUUGCUAUACAGCAGAAAUUGGUACAACACUGUCAAUCAACUAUACUUCAACUAUACUUUAAUAAAAACCUUUUUUAAAUAAAAAAAAUUUAAACGCAACAACAAAAAAGAAUUAAUCACUUGCUCUCUUAGCUUUAUUUUAAAGGUGGAAAAAUGCCAGAAAUUAAGGAGGUUUAUUUUUUAUUUUUUAUUUUUUUUUUGUCUUUUUGCUAUUUCUUGGGCCACUCCCACGGCAUAUGGAGUUUCCCAGGCUAGGGGUCUAAUCGGAGCUGUAGCCACCGGCCUACGCCAGAGCCACAGCAACACGGGAUCCGAGCCGCUUCUGCAACCUACACCACAGCUCACGGCAACGCCAGAUCGUUAACCCACCGAGCAAGCGCGGGGACCGAACCCGCAACCUCAUGGUUCCUAGUCGGAUUCGUUAACCACUGCGCCAUGAUAGGAACUCCAGGGGGUUUAUUUUUUAAAACAAAUAUAAAAUCAAGUUUCCUCAAGAAGGCAAUGAUUGAGAGGAGUCUUGAGAUAAAGUUAGAAGAUCAUAAGAUGAAGGGGAGGAGGACAUUCUAGGAAGAGAAACACAUAAACAUAGGAAGUGUGGAACAGCAUGGCCAGCAGUGGCUGGAGUGGGGCAUGAGGCUGAAGAGGAGGCAGAUGAUGGACAAUGGAAAGCUCUUUGUGUUAACAGACUUGGACACUUUCUUAUAAACCAAGGGGCACUUUUGAGGACUAUCUUUAGGAGCCACCACUCUGGCUCCCUGCUCAAUUAAGUAAGUCUAGGAAAUUAUUUCUUGAAAUAAUUUCUUAAUGGAUGACAGCCUCAUGCUCCAGCUAUGAUCUGACUGAAUUGGACAACAGAGAAAAUGGGCACAGGAUUAUCUCCCCUAAUUUGCUUCUCCAACUAGGGGCUCUAGCCUGUAUAGUGCCUUUGUGUGAAUUAUUCAAAGAUGCCAAUGCCAAGGUGAGGUCAGCACCCACUUAUUGCCUUCAACUGAACACCUUUGUGCAGUGCCCAGCCUGUACAACUAUACAUGUUGCUCCUGAUUGCCCCUGUAUUCUAUCUUCCAGUCAGUGGUACCAUCGUUACCCAUCUAGGUAGCCAAACUAGAAACUGGGCACCAUCCUAAUUUCCUUUUUAUGUCUCCCUCAAUAUAUUCCCCCAAACCACCAAAUCUUACUAACUCUUCAGCUUCCUCCCAAAUGCCACUGUCUCAGAACAGGCUUUGAUUGCUGGUUGUGUUUUUGCUGUAUCCUUCCCCUUAGUCUCCCAGAGAAUGGCAGAAAUAGAGUGGGUGUGUUGGCAGCAUGGUGGGGAGGGAUGAACCUGCUGUAUGCCAAAGGUGACUAGUUCUGUCCCAGAGCUGCUUCACCUGGACCCACCAUGAAGGGGAAGGGUGAUGUUAGCUUUCAUUUAAGCACCUAACCCCUACUAGUCCUGUUACUGUUUCUAGGGCUCACAAUAACCAUGCAAGGUGGAAAAUUUAAUCCAGGUUACAGAUGAGAAAACAGUGUUUACAAUCAGUUAAGCAGCUUUUUUGGAGUUGCACAGCUGGUGAGAGUCAAAAGUCCUUGCUGUUCUGCUGUUGGCACUAAAACUUGCUGUCUCUUGUCCUUUCUAUAGCCUAAUUGCAUGUACCUAAUUCCAGGUCCACUUUAUCACCUCUGUGAAAAAAUUUAAAUUAUAGGGGCAAGCACUUAAGAAUUAGAAACCUGCCUUAUGGAGUGUGCCUUUAAUUAGGCCAGCCUCUGUUAUUUAUGUUGUCUAUUUUUUUAUUUAUUUAUUUUUUAGUGCCCUGUAUGAGUUCAGGAAAGCAUCUUUGUAAAUAUUCUCUGAAAUAGACUGAUUACUGCUAAUUAGAUUCUCUUAACAUGAAAGAAGAAAAUGACUGGCUUCUUUUGAGUUCGGAUAAAGUAUGGUGGUGGCAAUGAUAGGUGUGAUGAUAAUAUUCUGAGCCAUGUCCUUGGAGCUGUUUUGCAGGUGCUGAAGCCCCACCAGGUGGGAGAAGUCAACUGGAUGCUGCCCACAAGCACAUCGACCCCAGACAAGUUGAAACCAGAAGGCUGAUGAUGCUGAUUCCCGAUGACCUCACCACCCACCAAUCAGGAAAGCGUCCACAAGCUGAUCACGCCCUGCUCCUCGAACUCUAAGACUCCUCACUUCCCCCUCUAAGGUGGGGCACAGUCCUUGAGGCACUAGCCUGCUGUGUCCCCCUCUUUGCCUGGCAAUUAAAGCUACUUUUUCUGUUUCC
rnacentral:lncRNA from 1 species